GUUUGUCAUAAAUGCUUCUGAGUAGGGAAGGUGCAUACUCUAGCAUGACUUUGGGACAUCUGUUGCUGUCUCAAGACCUCGCUGAAUACUGCCAAUCAGGGAAGUGCUAAAGACAGAGCUCCAUGAACUCCCCAGCAUGGCAGUUUUGGGUCUGAAGCUGCAUUUAUGUGCACAAUUACUGUAACUGUCCACACCCACUGGCUUUCUCUUGAGGCCACCCUUGUUUCCUCAGGCUACCCUUCCCAUAAUAUUACUACUCAGGAUGCAGAAGAUUCUCCUACUUCUGCUGCUGCUGCUCUCCAGGCUGUGGCAAGGGGCUUUGGCUGAGGAUUUGGGAUAUGGUAUUGAAAUGCAGCAGUUUGUGAUGGUACAGGAGGCAUUGUGUGUCUUCGUGUCCUGCACCGUUUUCUACCCUUGGAAUUCCCAGGAACCAAUCAGACCCACUUUAUGGCUCCUGAUACCAGCAUAGAGCUGACACAGGAAGGGGUGCUCCAGUGGCUACAGACAACCCCCAAAAACAAGUGCAGGAGAGAACCAGGGGCUGAUUCCAGCUCACUGGGGACCCUUAGGCCUACAACUUCUCUCUGAGCAUCACAGAGGCAAAUAAGGAGGCACUGGGGCAGAUCUCUUUUGAGUGGAGAGAGGAUAUUAUACAAAAUGCAAUUACCAAGAACAGAAGCUGUUCCUGAUUGUCACAGGAAGGAAAGUCAUGAUGUGAGCUGUUUUAUGGAAGCCACCAGUAUUUCCAGGCAUUGACAGCAGCAUUAAUACAACAACCAGUGAGAAAAUGAAGUCUUCAGCCUGAUUCCUUUGAGGGCUUGACUCCUGCAAGAGAACAGGAAAUAUCCUGCAAUGGGAUCCUUCCCCAAAAGCUUUGAAAUGAUUAUAGAAUCACUUGACGUCUUGAUUGUA